rnacentral:rRNA from 1 species
GCUCGUAGGCGGUUUGUCGCGUCUGCCGUGAAAGUCCGGGGCUCAACUCCGGAUCUGCGGUGGGUACGGGCAGACUAGAGUGAUGUAGGGGAGACUGGAAUUCCUGGUGUAGCGGUGAAAUGCGCAGAUAUCAGGAGGAACACCGAUGGCGAAGGCAGGUCUCUGGGCAUUAACUGACGCUGAGGAGCGAAAGCAUGGGGAGCGAACAGGAUUAGAUACCCUGGUAGUCCAUGCCGUAAACGUUGGGCACUAGGUGUGGGGGACAUUCCACGUUUUCCGCGCCGUAGCUAACGCAUUAAGUGCCCCGCCUGGGGAGUACGGCCGCAAGGCUAAAACUCAAAGGAAUUGACGGGGGCCCGCACAAGCGGCGGAGCAUGCGGAUUAAUUCGAUGCAACGCGAAGAACCUUACCAAGGCUUGACAUGAACCGGAAAUACCUGGAAACAGGUGCCCCGCUUGCGGUCGGUUUACAGGUGGUGCAUGGUUGUCGUCAGCUCGUGUCGUGAGAUGUUGGGUUAAGUCCCGCAACGAGCGCAACCCUCGUUCUAUGUUGCCAGCGCGUGAUGGCGGGGACUCAUAGGAGACUGCCGGGGUCAACUCGGAGGAAGGUGGGGACGACGUCAAAUCAUCAUGCCCCUUAUGUCUUGGGCUUCACGCAUGCUACAAUGGCCGGUACAAAGGGUUGCGAUACUGUGAGGUGGAGCUAAUCCCAAAAAGCCGGUCUCAGUUCGGAUUGGG